rnacentral:rRNA from 1 species
UACGUAGGGUGCGAGCGUUGUCCGGAAUUAUUGGGCGUAAAGAGCUCGUAGGCGGUGUGUCACGUCGGCCGUGAAAACCUGGGGCUCAACUCUGGGCGUGCGGUCGAUACGGGCAUCACUAGAGUGUGGUAGGGGAGACUGGAAUUCCUGGUGUAGCGGUGAAAUGCGCAGAUAUCAGGAGGAACACCGAUGGCGAAGGCAGGUCUCUGGGCCACUACUGACGCUGAGAAGCGAAAGCGUGGGGAGCGAACAGG